UUUUUCUCCCGGGCAGCCACCAUCAGAAAAUCAAGGCAGCCGCCCCCGCCCUUGACAUUUUUGUUUUUCUUUCAACACCGGAACCAGCCCCCUUCCCCGGUUUGAAAUUUAUUUUUUUUACUCCCACAACCCCCUGAUUUUCAGCUCAAUCCCAGCCGGUUUUUCCCCCCAUCUUCUUCCCCUUCAACAAAAAUUCAAGGCCUGCACAGGGAAGCCACAAAAAUCCUCUCCCUUCUCCUUCAAAACCGAACAGCCCCCUCCCCGUUUUCAUUUUCUUUUCUUCCCCAAACCAGCACCACCCACAACACCGAUCGACCUCUCCCUUUCCCCAAGACUAGCAGCUCCAUUUUCUUUUCCAGCAACACACCGAACACUCCCCUCUUUCGGCCAUUCCUUCUUCCCAGCUCUCAUCGCCGGACACGGCGACGCCUCCUCCAACAAGCAACACGCCGGACAGAAGCCAGAGCAGUUCCCCUUCGCUGUACCAUCUCGUCGUUUGCAUCGCCAUCUUCCCCGACCUCUCCUCUCCGUCCAGCCUCCGACAGCAGCAGCGACCACCACAGCAAACCCCAGCAGCGCCGUCCACAGAUCGGCAGCCACCACCACAGACCAGCCACAACUCCGCCGUCCGAAGAUCCAGCAACCAGCAGAGGAACGAAGACAGAGGCGAGAUCGAUCUGAAGAAGGAAAAGAACCGAUCUGCUUCUGCAGAUAAAAAAGAAGCAGAUCUGUAACGGGAAGAAAAAUAAAAACUGAUUGCUGUUUGUGAGUUUUUGUUGUUGUUGCAGGUGGCGGUGAUCUUCACCGCCGGCGAGGAAAGGAAGAGGAGAAGGAGCCGCUCCAGC
rnacentral:lncRNA from 1 species